AAAGCCGCCACGGGAGAGACUGGCCACCACCAUUUGGUAGGUCAGCGCCGAAGGAGCAACCGCCCCGGAAUCUCUCAGGCAAAUGGACCGUGAUGGCGAC
rnacentral:ncRNA from 2 species